CUCUAAAUAUUCGACCAAAAUGUCAAAUAAACAAACGCAUGGUUGAUCGAUCAAUCAGUCUAGAGAAAUCGAAGUUAUUUAUUACAAAAAUUCCAUAAAUCAAUGCCGUUGUAAGAUAUUUCAUGCGAAAGUGAUGGCUGCUGUGGGUGAUUUUGAAAGCGAACUUUGUUGGUGUAUAGAGCAGUUAAUGUUAAAUUUAAAGCAUGUCAAACCAGAUUCAAAACAAGCUGUUGAUACCAGUAAGGUUUUAAAAAUACUACAAAGUAGUAAAGCACCAUUAGUAAAGAAGCGUCAAGCAAUGAGGAUUACAUUUGGUGAUUACAGACAAAAAAUGAAAGAUGAAGCUGCUAGUAGUUCAAAAGCAGCCCAAAAUAUGAAGUUUGAGACUCCAGAUAAAGAGACAAAGAAAAAAUCUCAGUUUUAUAAUAAAAGUAGAAAAAGUCAUCAAAUGAAAGAAAACUGUGCUAAUGGUGAAAAUUCACAAGUUGGUGAAUCUGAAAACAGUGACACAAAGUUGAAUUUUUCAUCAUCAUCGAAUGAUUUUAAAUUUUCUUUUCCCAUUGAGAAAGACACUAUAGUGGAUACAAAUGAUGACAAUGAAAAUUCUAGUAUGCUUACGUCUACCGCCAGUUGUGAAGAUAAAUCUGAUUUCCAUUUUGUGAAGUCUGAUAAUUCUUUCAAGUUUGAUUUCAAGAUAUCUUAAUUUGUAUUUUGUUUGUAAAUUGUAUAUAAACUAUUUGGAAGAAUAAAGGUGGAAAUAUAAAGCUUGUUUUUCGUACAGUAAUUGAAUAUGAAGCAUACCUGAAUAUAAAUUAACUUUUAUACACCCACCUUGAAAUGUGUCCAUAAAUUGCUGUCACCCCAAUCUGUUCCGAGAUCCACAAUGUAUUGUGAAAACUCUACAGAUGACAUUAUCAAUCGAUCUAUUUAAAAUUUAUAUGCAUUGUUUACAUUAGUGAGACAUCGAAGCCUAGUUAAUUUCUUCUAUUUCAUCAAAAGUUUUUUCCCUUGGUGAAUGUUCUGGCAACAAGAGUUAUCAUCCAGUCUAUUUCAAAUGUAUAUUUGCAUUGUUCAAUUUAGCAAAAAGAUGUCUAUUGAAUUGCAACAAUUUCUGUUAAUUCCUUAGUGCCCUUCCUUCCUUUGUUGAAACAUGCAAAUGGUGUGAAAGUUAUCAUCUAACCUACUUAUGUUCUUUGUUUCAAUUACUUAUAUAGUUAUUGACCUUGACUAUAUUGAAUCUAGUCAAUACAGGAUGCAGAGUUUGGUUUUUAUUUUCCGAAAGAUUCACAAUGAAACAACCUUUAUGGACUGCUGUGGGUGUAUGUUGUGUUUUCUGGCAACCCAUAUUUCCCCAUUACUGUGCAUGUCAAAUUUAUCAGACUCAGUGUGUGUGAAACUAUUUGUUAUGGUAUCCUUUUCUCUGCAAAGAUCACACUUGCCAGAAGCAUACACCAAAUCCCACUUGGUAAUUACCUCCACCAAAGACCAUAUUUAUUUCUUCAAAAACUUUGUGGGAUUGAGCUUUUGUAAACGGGGGGUGGGGGGGGGUCUAACGCGUGUAUGUAAAAUCGUAAGGUCUGCCAUUUAAUCAAGUGGCAUGGUUUCAAUUCCCCGCUUGUACAUGACAUAGAUUAGGUCCUGUUUACCCCCACUGCUAAAGACCCCUAUGUGCAAGCGAAAUACUGAAAUAAAAUUAAACCCUGUUAGUCCCGCAAUGACCUAGUUUGUGUUUAGUGGACGUUAAACCCCAUUUCUCUCUCUUUUGCGAACAAGUCCUAUCCAAGUUAGAGUUCAUGUAACAAUUACUAGUUGGUUUACAUAUUUAUGUAUUCAUCUUAGCAUUCGGGUUAAUAUUUAGCUGUUCAAUUUGCAUUAUCUGUGCUAUAUUUGUUGUAUAUUUUGUUGAGCACUUGUGCUGCACUGUCUGUUCAAAUG